CUGGGAUGUGGAUGUUUACGU
rnacentral:piRNA from 1 species